rnacentral:lncRNA from 1 species
AUUUCAGACUGUAAUAUGGGCAAAUCCCACCUACCAUAAAAGCUGGCAAUACUUGCCUAAUAUUGAAGGAAGGAGACAUUUAGAGCAAGCCAGGGAGCUGGAACACCGGAUCAGGAACAGACACUUCUCCACAAGUUUAGAGUUUGGUAUUUCUCAAGUCCUGGCCUGAGGGAUGUUUACUCUCAGGUUAUACAAAGUCCCAGCUUGGGUUCUGGAAAAAUUGAACUGACAACUUUGCCUGAAAGAAGUUUCUUGCUAACUCCUACGUACAUCUUGAUUUUAUUAGACCAUGGCUAUUAUUGUGAGGUUUAUUCAGAGCAAUGAAGAUGUCACUCACCGUGUCAAAUUCAUAGGAAAGAAGGUGAGAAUGAGGCCACUGAAGUCAUCUUGGCUUGGUUUACUUAAGCCUGGGCAAACAGGGAAAAGGGCACUGGAGAUUUGCAUAGAGUCAUAAAAUGUUAGCGCUAGAAGGUGCCUUGAAGACCACGAUGAGUUAACUUUCUUCCUUUGCCAAGGAAGAAGCGAUUACUUCAGCAACUGGUGGGUAUCUCUUAUAUACGAGUGUUAUGCUCACUGUGCUUUU